rnacentral:tRNA from 1 species
GGGGGUGUGGCCGAGCGGUCGAAGGCACCGGUCUUGAAAACCGGCAGGCGCGAGAGUGUCUCGUGGGUUCGAAUCCCACCGCCCCCGCCA